rnacentral:tRNA from 1 species
GGUGCAGCUCAAUGGUAGAGCGCAUGCUUAGCAUGCACGAGGUCCUGGGUUCAGUCCCUGGUACCA